AACGAACGCUGGCGGCAUGCCUAACACAUGCAAGUCGAACGAGACCUUCGGGUCUUGUGGCGCACGGGUGCGUCACGCGUGGGAACCUGCACUUAGGUUCGGCAUAACUCCCCGACAGGGGUGCUAAUACCGGAUAAUAUCUUAGGCCCAAUGAUUUAUCGAGUUUGUUUGGGCCCGCGUGGGAUUAGAUUGUUGGUAGGGUAAUAGCCUACCACGGCGCCGAUGCGUAGCUGGUCAGAGAGGCAGAUCAGCCACACUGGGAGUAGGACCCGGUCGAGACUCCUACGGGAGGCAGGAGUGGGGAAUAGAGGACAGCGGGGGGAGGCCUGAUGGAGCUAUGCCGCGAGAGUGAUGAAGGCCUGAGGGAUGUAAAGCGCUUGUAACCGGGAUGAUAAUGACAGUACCGGGAGAAUAAGCCCCGGCUAACUACGUG
rnacentral:rRNA from 1 species